UUUCCCUUGUUACUUUUUUUGCAAAAACUAAAAAACCCCUAAGUUUAUUUUGUAUUUUCAAAACUAGCCCGAGAGUAAUAUGUUGCAGGUCCCUGUUUUAGAAGAUAAAGGAUAAAAGACUGUAAAGACUAAUGCCUGCUACGAGCCAUCAUAUGACAAGAGAGCAUGCACCCAGCCCUCUAGGCUCCAGUGUAUUAUGUUCUGGGAAAAUACUGCAUUUCAAACACUGACUUAAUGAAACUGAAGCUUUUCUCUGUGAUACUGAUAUAUGCUCUUUCCUGGCACCAGCUCCAGUACUUCUGCCUGUACUUUGUGGAUGAUAUUGAAGACUGGGGAGGGUCAUAAGAAAAACCAAGAUAACUGAGUAGUGUUUAAGUAGAGUACCUUUCAGAGUUACCAGCUGCUCUUUAUUUUCUUUUAUUCCUGUCUGUGUUCUACUCUGCAGAGCAAAGCUUGAUGGCAGAAGUUGGUUCAAUCUGGCUGGAGAAAUGUUUAACAAGAGUCCCGGGCUGGUGACUGAGUUUUCACAAAUUCAAGCUGGGAAAAAUGUGACAAUUUUCAUUAGGAAAGACUCGAGUGAUGGGUCUAUAGAAAUUGAAGAAAUCGGGCUCAUGCUGUGCACCUGGUUAGAGUGCUGCUCUUCUCUUUGGACAGGUUUCCUUUAGAUGAUUUUCGUCACUGGAAGCUUUGCAUUACACAGAACUCAGCACUGGGCUCUCACAUCUGAAAAGGUCUUCUGAAGAAGGCUUUGGACUUCACCUUAAGGUAGCUUGACCCCAUUUGUUGAGUGCAGUGUUAACACUUACUGCCAGUCUGCUCUGUGAAGUUUUCUAAGCAGUCUAGAAAGAUUUCAUCGGUCAUCGUGAAGCUGGUUCUAUCUACUGCCAGUCUGCUCUGUGAAGUUUUCUAAGGAGUCUAGAAAGAUUUCAUCGGUCAUCGUGGAGCUGGUUCUAUCCCUUCUUACGUUUUGAUUGUUCUCCUGAAUUGAAUUAAAGAUUCUUUUGCUUCCACAAAUAUGCACAAGUCUUAGAAGUUGUCUCCUGUGUUCAACUAGCUGCUAAAGAGUUUUUUCCGCCAAGGAAGCAAGCCCUUCUAUUUCACUGUGACGACUCACUGACAUGUUUCCACUUGAAAUAUGUCUUAUAGCAGACCUUAUAUUCUCUAGUGAUAGUGUGAUCAGUAAACAUGCAUGAUACAAGUACCUAAAUCAGGUAAAAUUCAUCUAGUUAAUUUUCUGAUUCCUGAGACAGGUAUGAUAAAAUUACUUCUCUGAAGUGACUGCAUUUAAAGUGAAUGAAGCCCAGUGUCUUUCUGCUAAGCAUACUCUAACAAGGAGUCCUUGUACAGAAUUAUUUAGAGUAAUAUUGAUUUCAAUUAAUACAGAGUGAAGCUGUGUCUCCAAACUGCUUCUGAAAAAGAAUAAAAAGGGAACACUCAGUCUUGGCUGUCAUGAGAUCAGUGAACAACCUGAGUGGCUUUAGCUGGCCUUGAAACAGCCUCAGAUGCAUUAGGACUCAGGGAUCAUAUAAUGAAAUGAGAAUUGAUGUACAAGUGAAGAAAAGGUUAAAGGCAGGUCUUCCCAUGAGCUUUACAAAGAUCCUAUCCAGCCAAGAAAAUGAAAAGGUAUAGGCUAAAUAACAAUGUAUCUAAGAAUACUGCAUUAAUUUCAAUGAGUAUUGUAGCAUUUAAUUGUAAAUACAAGUAAAUUUUUAAUACAAAGAUAGUGAAUAGUGUCCCUCUCCAUUCCCCAGGUCAUACCUAUGCUAAGAGAGAUUUAAUUGUCAGCAAUGCUGUUAACUCUGAGUCCGCAGAUGUCCUGGUAAAAGUGUGUGAUAUCAAAACCAUGUAUCAGUCCUGAAAGGAGGAACCAUUGUGUUCAAGUACAGUUUCAGCAAUGUAACUGGAGCUGCCUCUACUGCUUGUCUCAGAAACACCAGAAACCAAUUUCUGUUAUGGCAGCUGGGGUUUAUGUACAUCCUCACGAUGAGUGGCACACAACUUCCCAAGUGGUCCUAUCGUAUCUGGUAAAAACAAAACAGAAUAAGACGAAUUGAAAAAAGAAAAAAUAAAAAUUUACAUCCUCAAGUAAUCGAGGCAAUGAUGUGCUUAUUGCCAGCAGGUUCAGAUUGAAAACUGGAGGAGUGGGAAAGGAAGACAGUGCCAUUUGACUUUUUUGCUUGUGCAGACUUCAUGGAAAAGGAAGAAAAUGUCGUGUUUGCCAGAAGUUAUUGUUUUGUGCUUAAUUUUGCAACUUCCAAUAAAAGCAUGCUGAUGAAGAGCUCUCUACUGGGGGAAACAGAGUAAGACUACACAGAGG
ensembl:lncRNA